AACAAAGUGUUAGAAAGCGUAAGAGAAACAAAAAACGUAGACCUGCAACGAUCCCUAACUCUAGAGUCAAAGAAAAGCUUUAAUAAGAAGAAAACUUAAGAAAACUCUACCCAAUUUAAAAAAAAAACAAAAAUCAGAAACGUUCAGUGUCUUAAGAUUUUCAAAAAAAAAAAUUGAAGCUUUAAUUAUACUUGAGUCAAGAAAAGAUGAAG
rnacentral:lncRNA from 1 species